rnacentral:rRNA from 1 species
UACAGAGGGGGCAAGCGUUGUUCGGAAUUACUGGGCGUAAAGGGCGCGUAGGCGGCCCGCUAAGUCGAACGUGAAAUCCCCGAGCUCAACUCGGGAACUGCGUCCGAUACUGGUGGGCUUGAAUCCGGGAGAGGGAUGCGGAAUUCCAGGUGUAGCGGUGAAAUGCGUAGAUAUCUGGAGGAACACCGGUGGCGAAGGCGGCAUCCUGGACCGGCAUUGACGCUGAGGCGCGAAAGCGUGGGGAGCAAACAGGG